rnacentral:snRNA from 1 species
UUUAAUCUCAAGAGAUAUAAUGU